rnacentral:rRNA from 1 species
AUUGAACGCUGGCGGCAUGCUUUACACAUGCAAGUCGAACGGUAACAGCACUUCGGUGGCUGACGAGUGGCGCACGGGUGAGUAAUACAUCGGAACGUGCCUAGUAGUGGGGGAUAACUACUCGAAAGAGUAGCUAAUACCGCAUGAGAUCUAAGGAUGAAAGCAGGGGACCUUCGGGCCUUGCGCUACUAGAGCGGCUGAUGGCAGAUUAGGUAGUUGGUGGGAUAAAAGCUUACCAAGCCGACGAUCUGUAGCUGGUCUGAGAGGACGACCAGCCACACUGGAACUGAGACACGGCCCAGACUCCUACGGGAGGCAGCAGUGGGGAAUUUUGGACAAUGGGCGAAAGCCUGAUCCAGCAAUGCCGCGUGCAGGAUGAAGGCCUUCGGGUUGUAAACUGCUUUUGUACGGAACGAAAAGCCCUCUUCUAAUACAGGAGGGUCAUGACGGUACCGUAAGAAUAAGCACCGGCUAACUACGUG